CGCCCUUCGGGGAGCGGGUUGCUGGCUCCUAUGUUCCUAACGGUCCUCGUCCGCGAGGGCGGGGAAUCAACCGCUAGGAUCGUUUACUUUGAGGAAAUUAGAGUGUUCAAAGCAGGCGUAACUCGCCUCCGAAUACGUUAGCAUGGGAUAAUGGAAUACGACUUCGGUCUUGUUUCGUUGGUUUCGCUUGGCUGAAGUAAUGAUUGAUAGGGACAGUUGGGGGCAUUAGUAUUUAGUUGUCNGAGGUGAAAUUCUAGGAUUUACUAAAGACUGACCAAUGCGAAAGCAUUUGCCAAGGAUGUUUUCAUUAAUCAAGAACGAAAGUAAGGGGGAUCGAANACGAUCAGAUACCGUCGUAGUCUCUACCGUAAACUAUGCCGACCAGGGGAUCCNGANAGUUUGCAUGGGAUGANNCCCCGG
rnacentral:rRNA from 1 species